GUGCCACUCAUCUUCUCCCUCACUAAAAAACUAAUCUUUCCAAAUUUUACCCACCCCCCACACUUUCCCCUUUUUCACUUCACUCAAAAAGCUGCACCUAGAAAUCAACACAACAUCAGUUAAUAUACAAACAUAUACACAGAGAGAGAGAGAAAUGUGUUUUUGUGUGUUGUGUGUGAGUUAUAGAGAGCAAAGUUCGUUGAGGUUACCUAAGAGGGGGACAGAUCUAGGGUUUGGACAAGCAUGGAAGAAAGAGCAGAGAGAUAAAAGCUGAAGAAACAAAGAAAGAAAAUAUAUAAAGUGAAGUGAGAUUUAAUUAGAGUGAAAUCAAGAAAAUAAAUAACACUAGUACUUAUGUACAAGACAAAAUUAAUGAACUAGUAUACUUACAUUGAACUUUAUGAUGAGCAAGAAUAAAUGACAAUAACAAUGUGAAUGAUGACAUUAUAGUAGAAGUUUUAUGAAAGAUAAUGAAGGGUUUAAGGUUUAAAGAAGGGAGUGUUGAUGUUUAAGGAAGCAUUGGGGCAUGGGGAGAAAAGAG
rnacentral:lncRNA from 1 species